rnacentral:lncRNA from 1 species
UUCUUAAUGCAAAUGAUAAAGAGUUUAAUAUUUAGUUAUCGAGCUUCUAAGUUCGAAGCUUAAUUAUUUUGCUUUUUCACUAUGUAUAUUUUUAAGAAAUGGACAAAACAGAUAGUAUGUUACAUUUCUCUCAGGAAAAAAAAAAAAAAAUCGUGCAAAGAUUAUCUGUAUUAUAUAUCGAUUAACUUCAAAUACCACCCAUGUGGUUUUGCAUUUUCUCACUUUAGUACUUUGUGGUUUAAAGUGCUUAGUUUCAUUUUUAUCUUUUCGUCAGCUUUUUCGUUAAUAUUUUGUUAAAUUAUAUACAAAAAACUUCAGAUACCCCAUCUAAAUUUAUCGAAUAUUCACUUUAAUAUCCUUUAGUUUUAACUUUGUCAUUGAUUUAACGAAAAAAUUAGUGAAAUCAAUAAUAAAAAGAUAAAAAUAAAACCACAUGACACUAAUUGAUAUACUUUAAACCAUAAGGGCCUAAAGUGAGAAAGUGUGAAAGCGCAUGGGUGGUAUUUAAAGUUUUUUCUUAUAUAUCAUUUUUAAUCGGCUAUCCAAUUGUUUAAAAUUUUGAUUUUAUUACUCAAUUUUUCAAUUUGUUUAAAUGAAUAAGUUAAUGACAUUUUGAAUUGUUCAUAGUUUAAAAGUUGUA